UUUUCUAUUUUUGUGUUCUUGAAUUGAUUUUGGGGUUUAAAAUUAUGGGUUCUUUGAUUUUUUUGAAGAAAUUGAGUAACCCGGUUGAUUUUUGAACAAACUCUGUUUCUGGGUGUCUCCAGUUUUGUGUUCUCGACUUGAUUAUGGGGUUUUCAAUCAUGGUUCUUUGAAUUUUUUAAGAAAGAGGGAACCCGGUUGCAGAAAUUAAUUAAGGAAUCAAUGAAGUAAUUCAUUUGUUUUUUUUUUUGAAUUGAUUCAUGCAGUGAAGAGUGCAAGAAGGAUUUGCCAGUGGCUUUAUAAGUUUCCAAGGCCGUAGUCUUGAUGCUAAAAUCAAGAUGAAUUAUGUGAUUUGGUUUGUAGGAAGACAGCAAUCUUGACAGAGCCGAAAGCGAAGAAAGAGAAGGGCAAUGAUCAAAAUGCACUGAAACGACCUCCCAUUACUUUCUUUCUCCUCAUGUGAUAAUGCUCUUUGUUGCUUGUUUGUGUGGUGUAAUAUAAUGUGAUGAUAAUGCGUGAAUAUGGGGAGUGGGGUUUGUAUUGAUGUGUGUUGUUCUUUAAUUAGGGGUGAUCUUAGGAAAGAGUAUAAGGAAGGCAACCCGCACUCUAAGGAUGUUAAGAAGAUAAAUGAAACGUUGCAAGGGAAGGUGGUGAGAGAUGGAAAUUAAUGACUGAUGAAGAGAAGAAGCCUUAUGUGGAUAAGGCUGCUGAGCUUAAGGCAGGGUAUGCUGAAAAUAAGGAUGUCAUUCAUUCCUGGAUCGGUGCACUGUAAUGAUUGCCCAUAAAAAGCGCUUUAAUUUGGCAAGUUGUUCAGAUUAUAAUUUGUGUCCGGGGAAUUGCUAAUUGAGCGUCCUAUUCAUUUGGGACCGCUUUCCUAGGGCCUGGCCAUUCCAUCUUCUCUGUGGGUUGGUGGCUAGGUAUGGUCUUCAUGGAGCCAGGUUUGGUAAAGCCUUAUUUUCAGUUUCAUUUGAUUUGCUUUUUUAUUUAUUUCCCGCACCCCUUUACCACUCCAUUUCACUUCGUUUUAGGAUGGGCUGCCAUGUUUGCUUUGGCUAUCAUAGCUGCCCUGAUUAGAUUCUUUCCCUUCGUGUCAAGUUGUCUAAUUUUUUUAUUUAAGAGGGUAACGGAUGGUUAGUUGUUUUUUCCCCCCUGAAAAGCGUGGUUGUGUGCUCUCUCGGUUUCUUUCUUGCAUUUGUUUUUUGGUUGUUUUCUCUAUGCUGUUCUUGGCUUCGGUUCUUUCUUUUC